rnacentral:rRNA from 1 species
UACGUAGGGGGCAAGCGUUGUCCGGAAUUAUUGGGCGUAAAGAGCGCGUAGGCGGUCCGAUAAGUCGGCUGUGAAAGUCAGGGGCUCAACCCUUGGAAGCCGGCCGAUACUGUCGGACUAGAGUCCGGAAGAGGCGAGUGGAAUUCCCGGUGUAGCGGUGAAAUGCGCAGAUAUCGGGAGGAACACCGGUGGCGAAGGCGGUUCUCUGGGCCUUACCUGACACUGAGGAGCGAAAGCGUGGGGAGCGAACAGG